AUGGAUAAAUCACUUCAUAGGUUGGACAGGAGAAGGCAACAGAAGAUAAAGGACUGGGACAAGCAUCAUUCUGCGUAUGUUACCCGCUUCCAGCUUUGUGUGGAGCAAGCUCGUAGCACUGCACGCGCCCUGCUUCAUGAGCACAACCCAAUUGCUUUUGAUAACUACGUAAGAUGGUUUAUUGGAACUACUCGAGUUGAGAUAUGCCCGCCGGCAUAUAAUGAGGAUAUGCUUGAAGAACCCGUAAACUUUGAGGAUCUAGCAAAGGGGAAGUACAACAGAGAUGUCAGGCAAGGGCAAGGAGUCCCAGCUGUUCCGGUGAUUAACUAUGUGCGCACCGAGAUCAAGAAAGCAGAUGAUGAGAGCCAGUCUAUUCUGGAGAAGACACCGGUUGGAACUGGCAAUGAUGAUGGUUCACUACGAGCAUUCCUCAAGCGUCAGGCCAAGAAGUUAAGGCGGUUAUUGAACCUUCUCGUUGCCGUGAUCCUGAAUAUGAUGAACCAUCUGCCUCUAGUUCUGGUACACCAUCAGACCCCGCACCUCACCAUGAGGAGGACGAUGUGA
rnacentral:rRNA from 1 species